UGCUGAAGGAUUUUCCUCAAAUAAAUGCGUUGUCUUGGGCUUUCCUUCAGGAGGGAUCGGAUCAGGAGGCAGCAUUCUGUCCAGAGCGAUAGAAGCGAGUCCGAUUAUUACCUUCAACUUUACACCGGCUGUCUGUGUGUUAAGCUGGAAGAUUACACUAUUCUAUAAAUUGUUGUGAUGAACGGCAUCUUACCGUUGGACAAGCGCGGCUUAGACCAGACGUCUUCUUCUAUCCUUCGCCUGUCUCGUGCUUCUGGAAGGCGUCCACACACCAGCAGGAAUAAGAGCACUCCCAGAGACCACACCGUCGCUGGUUUGCCGUGGUACUUGCCCUCUGUGAGGUACUCAGGCGGGCGGUAGUCGCGAGUGCCUGCAGGAAGAAGAGUCGUCUGAUGGGUGAAUACCAGAGCAUGUGCUAAAAACAUCUGGUGUGUUUCAUUUCCAAAACGCUCCUCAAAUGUGAGAUCUGGUUUAUAUGACACCGACUGAACCCAAACUACAGGAUUGAUUGAUGAUUCAUACCACAGAAUGUUUCAUAGCCAGAGUCCCGCAGGAGAUCCCCGCACCCGAAGUCGAUCAGUUUGACCUCCAGAGUUUCGGUGUUGAUCAGCAGGUUCUCCAGCUUAAUAUCCCGGUGAAACACUCCACGGCGACAGCACACGUGAGCCGCCACUGUUGCCUGCGCCAUAAUAACCCGCGCUGUGUCCUCAUGUAGGAUUCCUUCGUGAUCGUUCCAGUACUCCCACAGAUCUGUACAGGGUGCGGGACGCUCCAAGACCAUGAUGUAUCGGUCCGGCUGGUCCUGCCAGUCCAGCAGCUCGAUGAUCUCGGAGACUUUGGGGCCGCUGUUAGCAAGGGUCAACAGGCCGACCUCUAAUGGGACGGGUGCGGGAUGACCAGGCUGGAACAAAGAUCAUUGUUAUAUGAAGGUGUUGUCAUUAUCUUUACAUACUUUCAUUUCAGAAACACACAGUGAGUGUAGCCGACUUACAAUGUGGAUGUAUUUCGUGUCCUUCGGCUUACUGGCAAUUUUCACCGCCAC